rnacentral:rRNA from 1 species
UACAGAGGGUGCGAGCGUUGUCCGGAAUCACUGGGCGUAAAGGGCGCGUAGGCGGCCUGAUAAGUAGGGGGGUGAAAAUCCUGUGGCUUAACUGCAGGGCUGCCUCCUAGACUGUUAGGCUCGAGCACGGUAGAGGCAGAUGGAAUUCCCGGUGUAGCGGUGGAAUGCGUAGAGAUCGGGAAGAACAUCGGUGGCGAAGGCGGUCUGCUGGGCCGUUGCUGACGCUGAGGCGCGACAGCGUGGGGGAGCAAACAGG